rnacentral:rRNA from 1 species
AUUGUACGCUAGCGGGAUGCUUUAAACAUGCAAGUCGAACGGAGUGGCGGACGGGUGAGGAAUAUAUCGGAACGAGCCCAGUAGCGGGGGAUAACUACUCGAAAGAGAGGCUAAUACCGCAUACAAUUGGAGCGGCCGAUAUCGGCAUAGCUAGAUGGUGGGGUAAAGGCUCACCAAGGCAACGAUCCGUAGCUGGUUUGAGAGGACGACAAGCCGCACUGGGACUGAGACACGGCCCAAACUCCUACGGGAGGCAGCAGUGGGGAAUUUUGGACAAUGGGGGAAACCCUGAUCCAGCCAUCCCGCGUGUAUGAUGAAGGCCUUCGGGUUGUAAAGUACUUUUGGCAGAGAAGCGGUAUCUGCAGAAUAAGCACCGGCUAACUACGUGCCAGCAGCCGCGGUAAUAC